AUGUUUGCCCUUCCCUUGGGCAAAGCUCCGGGACCUGACGACUACACCACGGAUUUCUUCAAGAGAUGCUGGGAGGUGAUCAAGCAUGAUGUCUUUGCAGCUCUGCACCAAUUCUUCGCCCUACGCGGCAAGCACUUCCACCUGCUCAAUUCUGCCUACAUAACACUACUGCCAAAAUCCAAUGAGGCCGUCAAAGUAAAAGACUUCCGCCCGAUAAGCUUGAUCCACUCAGUGGGAAAGAUUGCCGGAAAGUUGCUCUCCAUCCGACUUGCCCCAUUCCCGCAGCUGCUAAUUCCCCCCUCCCAGAGUGCGUUCAUCAAAUCCAAAAGCAUUCAUGACAACUUUCUCUUCGUCAAAAACGCGAUCCGUAGCCUACACCAGCACAAGGACCCAGCUCUGUUGCUCAAGAUGGACAUCAUCGGUGCUUUUGACAAUAUCUCUUGA
rnacentral:rRNA from 1 species